rnacentral:lncRNA from 10 species
AGUACAGCUCCCUCUGUGUGUAUGAGUACUAUCAAAUACAUUCUGAAUUUCACUAGCUUAUAUUUUCCAGAUUUCUUCAAGUUCUCAACAUCACUUAUCUUUAAAGAGGAUUAUGGUGAAGCUUGACUCCAUCCAUGCACACGGAUAUGCCCCUCCUUGAAGGUUGGCCAGCUGCACUGGGUGACAUCCUCACAGGACCAACCUCUUUGCAGGUUCUGGCACCAUCAGUCACUCCAGCCACUGCACACAGCACAUAGUCCUGCACAUCUGCAGGCUUUAGCUGAGAUGUUUCCAGAAACCUGGCUUGGUGUUCCAGAUGUCACUGCUAGUGUCCAUGUACCAAGGUCAGCAAGACAGGGUAGAAAAUCUGCAGGGUGAUGUCCCAUUCAAGAGUAUAGAGACCAGGAGUUCACAGCAACUCCAGUCCUAUCUGCCCUUGGACUUAAGAUAACAAUGUUAAUCUCUUCUGAUAGUUAUGCAGGGAGGAGGAGUUUCCUUGGAUCAAAUAUUGCAGCUACGAUCAAUUAGGCAGGGCAAGGGCUGGAGAGGAAAGGUUGUCUCCCAUUCCUCAUGGGCCACCCUGCCUUUAAGCCUCCCCUGCAAACAAUAAGCUGUGGCUCACACAAAUGCAAUGGCAAAAGGUGCUACUUUUCUCUUUGAAUAAAAUAUUCAAAGGCAAUUAUAGAAACAGAUUUAUUACAGAUAAAUUUAGUGUCGUUGAAAACUUCAGCCAAAAAAAACAAAGAAUUGGUUAUAUAUAUAACAGGCAAAUUAUAAUAUGACUGGACCCUUCGUUAACAUCACAUUUCUUUAAAUCUUUUUUUUCAUAUACUUUAAGUUCUAGGGUACAUGUGCACAACAUGCAGGUUCGUUACAUAUGUAUACAUGUGCCAUGCUGGUGUGCUGCACCCAUUAACUAGUCAUUUACAUUUAGUAUAUCUCCUAAUGCUAUCCCUCCCCACUCCCCCUACCCCAUGACAGGCCCUGGUGUGUGAUGUUCCCCUUCCUGUGUCCAAGUGUUCUCAUUGUUCAAUUCCCACCUAUGAGUGAGAACAUACGGUGUUUGGUUUUCUGUCCUUGUGAUAGUUUGCUGAGAAUGAUGGGUUCCAUCUUCAUCCAUGUCCCUACAAAGGACAUAAACUCAUCCUUUUUUAUGGCUGCAUAGUAUUCCAUGGUGUAUAUGUGCCACAUUUUCUUAAUCCAGUCUAUCAUUGAUGGACAUUUGGGUUGGUUCCAAGUCUUCGCUAUUGUGAAUAAAGCC